rnacentral:rRNA from 1 species
CCUACGGGAGGCAGCAGUGAGGAAUAUUGGUCAAUGGGCGUAAGCCUGAACGAGCCAAGUCGCGUGAGGGAUGAAGGUUCUAUGGAUCGUAAACCUCUUUUAUAAGGGAGUAAAGUGUGGUAAGUGUCCGGUCUUGUAUGUACCUUAUGAAUAAAGAUCGGCUAACUCCGUGCCAGCAGACGAGGUAAUACGGAGGGUCCGAGCGUUAUCCGGAUUUGUUGGGUUUAAAGGGUGCGUAGGCGGUGUUUUAAGUCAGAUGUGAAAGUCUGUGGCUCAACCAGAGAAUUGCCGUGGAUACUGGGAGGCUUGAGUGUGGAUGAGGAAGGCGGAAUGCGAGGUGUAGCGGUGAAAUGCGUAGAUA